rnacentral:rRNA from 1 species
GCCACAGAGGGUGACAGCCCCGUAACCUCUUCCCUCUCUAGAAAUAUCCUCUUUUAGAAAGGGUGACACUGAAAAACGUACCUCCACUUAUAACCCGUGCAAAGCUCUCACCCUUUGUGGGGGAAAAGGGCGAGCACCCCGUGCCUAGGCAGAGAGUGCCCGAGCUCCCGUUUCGCUGAAACCCCGUACCUCUUUCCGGUUCAGGGCGUAGCGCAGUGGGGGAUAACACCUUUCUCCCACCCCCCAAAAAAAUCCCGAACCCCCACUUCGCUUCGCCCUAAAGGGUAUUAAGGGGCAAAGUGUUACCCCUUGAUACCCCCAGAGUUGCGGUAGCCAGGGUCAGGGUUAGAGGCGUAGCGCAGUGGGGGUUAGGGAGCUGAAACUUUGCACAAGGCUACUAAAGCUGCCUUUGCAAAAGGUUAACCUGUGCAGAGGGUUUAUGAAAGGAUGUGAGUACAACGAGAAAAGAAUCUUGUUGGAAGAUAGGGGGACCACCCCCUGAGCCUAAAAAACCUGUUCUGACCGAUAGUGUAAAAGUACCGUGAGGGAAAGGAGAAAAGACCCCUUACCAGGGAGUGAAAAAGCGACUGAAACCGGAUGCAUACAAACAGUGGAAGCCCCCUCUUCAAAAAUAGACUCCUUAGCGCCGAAAAAGUUACCCAUAAACAAAGUGUUACCCCUUGAUACCCCUUACCCCUUGAUACCCCCAGAGUUGCGGUAGCCAGGGUUAGGGGCGUAGCGUAGUGGGGGUUAGGGAGCUGAAGCUCCCGCUUCACUGAGACCCGGGUUACUCCCGUAACCCGGAGUACCCCCUAACCCUGACCCUGGCUACCGCAACUCUGGGGGUAUCAAGGGGUAAGGGGUAUCCAGGAGGUUAUGGUAGUUAGGAGCGUUACCCCUAUACCCCCUUCGGAGGUCAGGGUUAGGGGAGAGGGGGUUACCGCGUACCUUUUGUAUAAUGGGUCAGCGAGUAAGAGAGAUUAGCAAGCUUAAGCCAUUGGGUGUAGGCACAGUGAAAACGUAAAGCAGGAGUUUACAAAAACCCUGUGGAGUUAAUCUCCCUUUACCCGAAACUAAGUGAUCUAGCCAUCGGCAGGUUGAAAGGGGGGUAAAACCUUCAGAAGGACCGAACCCACGUCUGUGGCAAUAGACGGGGAUGACCGGUGGCUAGGGGUGAAAAGCCAAUCGAACUUAGAGAUAGCUGGUUUUUUGCGAAAUCUAUUUAGGUAGAGCGUAAUUGAUAAAGAAGGGGGGGUAGAGCACUCCAUGGGGAAGGGUGGUCCAAAGCUUUACCAACUCCAAGGAAACUCCGAAUACCCCUUCUCCCUCCAUUUUUGAAUGGGGGGGAGUAUUCAAUUACAGACAGACUUUGGGUGCAAAGGUCCAAAGUCAAAAGGGAAAAAGCCCAGAUCGUUUGAUAAGGUCUCUAAGCCAUAGUUGAGUGGGAAAGGAAGUUUUUCGGCAAAGACAAUCAGGAGGUGGGCUUGGAAGCAGCCAUCCUUUCAAGAAAGCGUAAUAGCUCACUGGUCUAGCCGCAAAGCACCAAAAAUGAAACGAGGCUCAAACUAUGCACCGAAGCAGCGGCUUUUCGUCCACUAAAAAUGCUCCAACCCCCCACUGCGCUGCUAACUACCGUAACCCCCCAAGGGGGUAUCGCCCCCCCUACCCUAACCCGCAAGGGGUAAGGGAUAGCUGGCCCCCCACUCCGCUUCUAGCUACCGCUUCCCCCCAAAAAGGGCAUCCCUUGCGGGUUAGGGGUAUCUCGGGGCUGCGUAGGCUGGAAAAAAGGGGUAACUGCCAAAGCUGAAGCUUGGCACAAUAUAGAAAUGAAGUUUCUCUAGUUGGAAAGUAAAAGGGUAGCAAAACGUUCUGUAACCUAAUGAAGAGACGCCGUCUGGUGACCUUAGAAGAAUCAGAAGUGAGAAUGCUGACAUGAGUAACGUAAAAUCAUGUGAAAUUCAUGAUCGCCGAAAGCUCGAGGGUUUCCACAGACGUAUAUCGAUGUGGAGUCAAUCGGCCCCUAAGAGAAAAGCGAAAGUGAAUCUCAAUGGGAAAAGGGGAAAAGAAUGAAGAGUUGCAGGGGUUGCGAUAACUUCCAGGUAGUUGCUAACCGCUGAAAACUUAUUUCAUUCUCAACCCUUAAAGGUUUAAGUGACGAACUUAAAAAGGGGAAGGGGGCAGAGGAUAUCCCCCCCGAAACCCGGUAACCCAUAAAGGGUAGGGAGUGCUCUCGCUGACGCAGCUCCCCGUUUACCGGGCACCCCAAAGAAAGUUCCAGGAAAAAACUUAACCAAAAAGAAAGUAAACUCACUCCAGGGCUACUUUCUAAACACCGUACCGAAACCGACGCUGGUGAGCUAGUUUUAAAAACUGAGGCGUAGAGAGAACCAUGUUGAAGGAACUCGGCAAAUUAACUCCGUAACUUUGGAAGAAGGAGGACCGGUUAACCCCAUUUUCCCACAUUCUAACCUUUACUUAGUAUCCCUGGAUACCCCGUGCGUAAGCUGAACCCCGAACCCCGACCCUGGCUACCCCAACUCUGGGGGUAUCCAGUGGUACGGGGUAAGGGGUAAGGGCCCAAAGUUAAGGGGAAGAAUGGAGAAGAUGAGGAAAGUAUAUCGGUGGCACAAAAGAGGGGGCAGCGACUGUUUAUUAAAAACACAGGACUCUGCAAAAGAAAAAUGACGUAUAGGGUCUGACACCUGCCCGGUGCUGGGAACCGAAAGGGAGAGCUAGACUGAAUAAGAAAUCCCUCUCUACAAAGGGAGGGAGUUUUUUGAAAAAGGUUUCAACUCAAGGUCCAGUAAACGGCGGCCGUAACUCUGACGGUCCUAAGGUUAACACUUCGCUAGCCUUAGUAAAACCAAACUAUAUGCUGGAAACUCCUCAAAAACUUCUCAAUACUCGAGGUGGAGGUUCUGAAACUCUUUUCCCUAAGGAUUGAAAAGGGUUGAAGAUUUUUGAUCCCUCCUUUUACUCAGUAAAAAAUUGAAAGACAGGGGGACAAUCAGCAGGGAAGACUAAAACCACCUCUUUAAAAAAUUUUACAGAAAGAGAAGGGAGAGAACCCUCAGAGACUACACGUUUGGAGAUGCAAGAAAAGAGAAGGGACUCUUUUCAAAAGGAGAGGUAGAAAAAAUCGAAGAAUGUGAUGACAACACAAUUGAACGCCCAAUGAAUUGUUGGUUUUGUCCAUGGGGAAGAGUGCUUUCACAUCGGAAUUACAAUAGACCCACAACCCCAGCUAAAGCAGCCCCUUGAUACCCCUUACCCCUUGAUACCCCCAGAGUUGCGGUAGCCAGGGUCAGGGUUAGGGGCGCAGCGGAGUGGGGGUUACGGUCAUCGACCAUCUCGCCAGACGGUGGAAAGGUGAAACAGGUCCUUCCAGAAUUUACAAUGGUACAACACAGAUCCGAUAUUCAAAUACUCCACCCUUUAAAAGCUUAUUUUCAAUGCAAAGUGGUUGGAAGGAAUCAUGGAGAUCGGGAGAGUUACUCAGUGCGAAAUCGGAACCACCUUGAGAUAAUUAGAAAUGCUCUAGAAAUGCUCUAGAAAUGCUCUAGAAAUGCUCUAGAAAUGCUCUAGAAAUGCUCUAGAAAUGCUCUAGAAAUGCUCUAGAAAUGCUCUAGAAAUGCUCUAGAAAUGCUCUAGAAAUGCUCUAGAAAUGCUCUCAUCCUUCCUUUCUUUGAAAAACAUAAGUUGAAAACAAAGAAAGGAGUUCAGUUUGAGAAAUUUCGAAAUGUAGUGUUGUUGAUGAACCGUGGUGAACACUUGACUCCUGUUGGUGUGGAAAAGAUCUUGAAGAUUCAUCAUUCCCCUCUUUUUGAGGGGUCUACGUACCCUGGUGAGAUGGGAAGAGAGGGCGUGUGUGUUGAAGAAACAGAGAUUGCAUCUAAGAGAGAGUCCAGCUGAUCUUGAAAAGGAUUGGAAAAUACUGAGCGAAAUUCCUUGUCGGGUGAACGGAUUUUGCCCGAUCGGUUUGGUAACAAACCCUAAGUAUACCGACUCAUAACGGUGAACCCUAAAGCCACAAAAGCCAUGGGAAUACCGCGGGAAGGGUUGCCAUGAAAAGCACCACCCUUUACCUUCAAUGGAGGUCCCCACAUACCUAAUCCCCCAUCCCUUACCCCUUGAUACCCCGUACCCCUUGAUACCCCCAGAGUUGCGGUAGCCAGGGUCAGGGUUCGGGGCGCAACGCAGUGGGGGUUAGCGGGAGAGGGUAAUUGCGGGCUGCUAAAGCUGACCCAAGGGUUAAAAAAAAAAAGGGACUCCCUUAACCUUUAGGUUUCAUGUUUAAUGGGGGUGUGGCAACUCAUCUGUAACGACUGACUUGAAAAAGGAGGCAAUGCAAAACCAAAAGAAAAAAGACUCGAGGUGAUGGUUGCAACACGUCGGCACUCUUCGGUGCAAGGGAGGUACGGAGUAAACUAAACCCCCUCCUCUUUUACCCAAUACUCUAAUCCAUUUCCAGAUUAGAGUUAGCUUCUAACCCCCACUUCACUGCUAACCCUGACCCUGGCUACCGCAACUCUGGGGGUAGCCAGGGUCAGGGUUAGCAGUGAAGUGGGGGGAGCUUGCGCACGGGUUACUCCCGCAACUCUGGGGGGAUGAAGGGGCAAAGUGAAACGGGACCUGCCCCUUACCCCCUUCGGGGGUUUCACGAAGCUAACUUUUGUAACCCGGAGUUUGGUGAGGGGGGAUAGAAUUAUUGUCAUAGGUUUUAAUAGGAAAGAGCAAAAAAUAAUACAGCCCCAUAUGGAACAGCCCAUGGAGAACAGAAGAGAAGAAAGUGGUGGAGGGAGUGAACCCCCAUUAGAUCUCAGGUUUUGUGGAUGGUGAAGGCUGUUUCUCCGUCUCCUUUAACUGGCGGAGCCGCCUGCAAUUGAAGAUUGAGGUUCGACCAACCUUCUACCUAAGCCAGAGUGGAAAGAGAAACUCCCCGCGAUAGGGGGUAGACCUCCUACACCACUAUUAUUGUUGCGAGUUCAUAAGGUAUUGCAAGAAGGAUGGAAGUUACAAGUCUGAGGUCCGUUGCCUGCAGAAUCUGUCCCAUGGUGCCAUCCCCCACUUCGCUCAAUACCCCCUGUCAGCGGUAGCAGCCCUAGCUACCGCUUGCCCCCGAAGGGGGCAUCCCCUUGAUACCCCCAGAAGAGGUCAGGGUUAGGGGGAAGAUUUCCGCCGCUUUCGCCAGGUCUGUUCCCUUAUGCUGACCCGUACCCCUUGAUACCCCCUUUAAAGGCGUAGCGCAGUGGAGGUUAGAAAGGGGCAAAGUGUUACCCCUUUCCGGUUAGGGAGCUGCAGCGUACGCAGACCCUUGUGGGUUAGGGAAACAUCUGCAGCGAGCUGGUUUACAAAAGAUCCUCCACUUUUCCUAUGAGAUGAAUCCUUGCGAAAAACGAAAGUAUGACAAAGAGUCUCUCCUAAACCUCCUGAAGAGUUGAAGGUAUAGUCUGAUCAACCUGGAAACAGGUUGCCUAACAUUUAUGAAUUUCCGACCCGCAUGAAUGGUGUCACGACUGCCCCGCUGUCUCCAACAUGGGCUCAGUGAAAUUGAAUUCUCCGUGAAGAUGCGGAGUUCCCGAAAAAAGACGGUAAGACCCUAUGCACCUUUACUAUAACUUAUCAUUGGGUUUGGGGGUAUGUUGUGUAGCAUAGGUGGGAGCCCCAACUAAAAAUGGAGGCAACAGUGAAAUACCACCCUUCCUACCCCAAUACUCUAACCUUUCCCCUUUCGAGGAGGUAAAACCUACUCCUUACCCUAACCCCGAACCUUGACCCCGAGCUUCGCACGGGGUAUCAAAAGGUACGGGGUAUGCGUAACCUCCCCCCACUUCUGCCCCCCUAUGAGGGUAUGAAAGUGAAGGGUAGAGGUAUUCAGGUACAGGUUAAGAAAGGAACAGUGUUAAGGGGGUAGUUUCAUUGGGGCGAUGGUUUUCUAAAGAGUAACGAAAGCGUGCGAAGGUAAACUCAACCCCGUCGGAAAUGGGGAGAAGAGCGUAAUGGUAAAAGUUUGCCUGACUGUGAGACCUACAAGUCGAGCAGAGACGAAAGUCGGCCAUAGUGACCCGGGAGUUCUGAGUGGAAAGGCUCUCGCUCAACGGAUCAAAGGUACGCUAGGGAUUCCUGGAGUCCUCCCCCUUCGUGAGAGGGGGGGGAGCGUUUCUUGAGAAGGGUGACCCUCUCAAGAUAAAAAACUGGGUGAAUUGCAAGAACGGUUUAAAGAUUCUCAAAAUCCCAACUUGCAGCGAAGUCUCUCCAAUGACAACCCCUUACCUUAGCUACCGCGUGCGAAACAGCUUUCGCGUGCGAAGCUCCCCCUGGAUACCCUCAGAGAAGGCCAGCUUUAGCAGCUCCUCCACUCUGCUUUGCCCCUUACCCCUGGCAGCUUUAGCAGCCCCCUUCGGGGGUUACGCUAGUUAGUAGCGCAGUGGGGAUUAGAGGGGAGGGUUAUCAGUGGGGGUUCCGUGUAGGGGACGGAAGUAGAGAGAAACGUUCAACGACUAGAAAGUGAGGAUUGUCUACCAAUACUCUUUCCACGAGCGCCCAGCAACUGGCAACACUUUCCCUAUCCUCCCUAUGAAAAAACCCACAGCAAAAGAGAGACUCCGCCGUUUUUUGGCGGAAUCUAAAAAAACAAUACUGCUCCCUCCACCCCCACUUCUAACCCUGACCCCCAGAGGGGGUCAGGGUUAGGGUAUCGCCUUUCUAAAGAUCUCUUCUUCAUUGGAGUGGGAACACUCCUUGGUGAUGGAAGUAUUCAAACACAGGAUGGGGGUUGCGAAGCACAAGCUACCGUUUAAAAUUUCAACAAUCAGGGAAGCUGUUACCCCUUGUGGGUUAGGAAAAUAUCUCUUCCAUUUACACCAACAGUUCUCCAAAUAGGGCCCCUAAGGUUCUUUCACCCCCCCCCCUUUCUAGAUGAGAAUCAGGGGAUGUGCAAUUUUCAGACGAUCCCCCAUCCCCAUUUCAAAAGGGUGGCAGAGAUCUUUCAGCUCCAUCUCGGCAGGGAGAAAAGAAUUCCACCCCAUUUUGUAAAGCGGUGUCUCAACCCCUUGCCCCCGAAAGGAGCUACCCUAGCCUAUUAGACCAUGGAUGACGGGGGGAGGUCUUGCUAUAACAAAGAUUAUCAGCGGAGAGGUUUUGCACUCAAUACACUUGGAGCACCUUGGUUUUCAAAGGAAGAGGUUCUUUCUCUCUAUGAGGGGUUAAAGAAACGGUAUGGUUUACGCUGUUGGUAUAGAGGAAACAAAGGAAAGUGGGUUUUGGUGAUUUCAGGGGAUGAUCAUUAAAAGAUGAUAGGGCUAAUCAAAGAGUGUAUCAUUCCAUCCAUGUACUAUAAGAUUCCCCAUCUUUUAAAGAGAAAGGGGCUACUAACGCUAAGGGUAGCUAAGAGAAAACCCCCCUUUACCUUUGCACAGGAUCUCCCCACCAGUUGAUGACAUAGUCUGAACUCCAUGGUAACAUGGAGAGAUGGGGGAUAAAAAGCCCCCAUGAUAACAAUAUUGAACAGGCUGAUGACUCCCAAGAGCUCAUAUCGACGGAGUCGUUUGGCACCUCGAUGAGAAGACACGUCGAGGAAAAAGCGGGUGAAUUGACAAGGAUACCUCCCCCAGCCCUAACCCCUUACCCAUAAACAGGCUGCUAAAGCAGCUAUCGCUUUAACCCCUACUUGACUUCGUCCCUAACCCCCACUUCUAACCCGCAAGGGGUAACGUCCCGUGCGAAGCUCUAACCCUGACCCCCCUAGGGGGUAUCCAGGGGCGAAGCGAAGUAAGGUAAAGGUUAGGGACAAAGUGAAGUGGGUUCAAGGUUAAAAGUAAAAGUUAGAAAGAGGGGAGACAACUUGCAGCGAAGCGCAUCUCGGCAGAAACCCCUCCUCAUUAUGAGAGGAGGGGAGAAGGGAUGUGAACGUUCAACGACUAGAAGGUGAGUUAUGCCAACAAUAACCCUUCCACGAGCGCCCGCUCACACCAACUCUUUCGAUUUUGAAAAGAAAAAAGUUUUAUCCCAUUUCUACAGAAAACGAAAUUGAUAGUAAAAGGGGGGGCAGAGAAGAAAGAGAGAGGAAGUAUUAAGAAUAGACGGGAUGGACAUCACCUCAAUUCAACCUACUGGAGAAAGUACAAAAGAGGGGGGUUUUACCCCUAGCUAACGCAACCCAAGAGGUUGUGGUAGUGGCGGUGGGUAUGGGGUUGGGUGACGCCACCCUGGCUCGCGGCAAAGGUGAAUGUUCUAUGAAAUUUGAACAGGGUUGGAGAUAGAAAGAGUUUCUCUGCCACCUAUAUCAAGAGUACGCCUUUAUGGUCUCUCCUGGUAUAGGGUAUGAUAAAGGUGGGGAGAGGGGCGGGGAGGUGAAAAGCUACUGGUUUCGAACCUUGGCCCACCCCUCCUAUACAUCCAUUCAUUCCCUCCUUUACCAGAAAGAGGGGAAUGACUCUGCAGCUUCUGACCCCUGUUUACCCCUGACCCUAACCUCAGCUUCAGCAGCACUGAACUUGCAAGGGGCUGCGUACUCUACUUCGCUCCUAACUACCGUAACCCGCAAAGGGUAUCCACUCCCGUUUCACUUUGCCCCUUGCAAGUUCAAGGCUGCCUACCCUGGAGGUAUCAAAGGUCAAAGUAAAACAGGAGCUGGGGUCAGGGUUAGCCAGCUCAGAGGGUAGGCUACUAAAACUGCACAACCCUUACCCCUUGAUACCCCCUCUGGGGGUCAGGGUUAGGAGUCCCUGGAAAAAGGUUCCUUGGAAAAUGGCUCCCUUGAAAAGGGAAACAUAAUACCGGUUAGAAUCCCCUAUGGAAAAGGGGUUUCAAAGGGUCUGAUUCAAGAUCAUCUUACACCAAUUGGUCUUGCCUAUUAGAUUAUGUGUAAUGGGGCCCCUCCGGUCUUUACAGAAUGACCGAAAAAGCCUGGCUCUCCAUACUCAAUGUUACAAAGAAGGGGAGAACUAUACAGCUCCAUCUGUUGAGUCUAGAAUUGAAUGAAAAGUUUGGGUUUUACACCCGAGUCCGUCCCCGUAAGGGGAAGUAUUUCAUCCUCUUCUUCCCAUCCGGAGAUGGGGCCCUUUUGCUUACCCCUUGAUACCCCCUCUGGGGGUCAGGGUUAUGGGUUGAUCCAUCCCCGCCUCCUUUCCUCUUUCCAUUACAAAAUUCCGGUUGUGCGAAGCAACCCCCCUUUUUCAGGUCAAGGGGAGGUGUGAAUGACAUAGUCUGAGCUCCUCUGUGAAGAGGAGAAGUUUAGGAUAAAGAGCCUAAAUGGUAACAAUCUGGUCGACUCAUCGCAACCUGGGGUUGAAGAAGAUCCCAAGGGUUCGGCUGUUCGCCGAUGAAAGCGGUACGUGAGUUGGGUUUAGUACGUUGAGAAACAGUACGGAUCCUAUCUUUUUCGGGUGGAGAACCGGAUGUUUAGUUUUAAUAAAUGAAACACCAUCCGGUAAAGACUGAAGGGGUCAUUCUUUUGUACGAGAGGACCAAGAAUGGGGAACCUCUGGUGUACCAGUUGUCGCGCCAGCGGCACCGCUGGGUAGCUACGUUCCAAGGAAAGAACCGCUGAAAGCCUAUCAAGUGGGAAAUUCCGCCCUAAAACAAGUCUCCGGUGUCGUAG